AACCCACUUCCUCCCGAUAGGUAGGCACACCGCACAAGUCGCCCCCACCUACCUUCGUUCUAUCGUGUGAUCCCUGAUCCAGAUUCCUCCUGUUCGUCUCCGUCCUCGCCGCCUCAACUACGCCCCGUGAUCUCGAUGUCGAGGACUUCCCCAUCUCUCCAGCACCUCCCUCCACUCCCACCCAGACCAAUCUAGGAUACGCCCCCAAACGCCAACCCUGCGGCAUCGACGGAGCGUGACAAUGUCGACCGCCCGGCGAGGCGGCGACUUGCCGGACCAGAUGGUGCGGAACCUUCUGGAGCAGGAGAGUCUUCAUCGGAGGCAAGACCACCUGCAGCUUCUUCAUCUCCAUCCUCGUAGCCGCCGUCAGCUUGUUCGUGCUUGUCCAUCGAUUCUGCCAGUACCACAUCCUCGCCAAGGACUUCUCCAACCUCAACGCCAUGGUAUGUGGUACUACUUUGUGAUAUGUGGCUGGUUGAUGAACCCUGUAUAUUCCCAAUCCUUUGGAACAGAGAUUCUACUUGCGUUGGUUAGAUGCUGGAUUUCAUCUUAUACCUUCCUUGGAAGGUGACAACAGAAGAUAAGGUCUGCGACUGGAAAAUAAGUAUGCUGUUUGGGCAUUUUCAUUUUAAUAUGUUCUGCUGAUGACCGACUUUGUGUGAAGAUUAAGGUGUCUACCUUGUAGAAAAAAAUACCAAUCAUCUAGCAAUUUCCUUUAAGUAUUAUAGUAUUCCUGAUCCACCGUUGUGGUUGUUGGCUUGCGCCGUUGUGUAUGUACACGCUAAUGACCGGCUGGCCGCAGCUAAUUACUCAUUAUCCAAUAUGUUAAUGAACUAGGACGAAAUUAGAUAAUCCCAAAGCCAGCAGGCAAUAGCCCAUGUACGAUCGUGGCUGGCUUAUUUUGAUCGAUGAAUCGAUCAGAUCAUGACCUGUGUAUAUGCAUGUUCAACACUUUCACCGGCUGGAUAUAGUAACUUCAGUUCAGAUUUGAUUGUGGCUGUCAUCCUAGAGUGUAGUAGCAGCAGCUGCUAGCAGCCUAACGCUGGAGCACUUGGUGUAGCGCCGCAGCAUUGGUCUUCACAACAGUGUGUUUGCUGCGCACCGUCUUCGACGACGCGUUGAUCUUCAGAGUCUUUGAACCUGGCGUCACAACUCAUAGUUGAGUGCUAUGGCUGGGACUGUAAAGAAGUGUUCAAAUUAUGAUAGAUCAAAGCCCUUCACAGGUGAUGACGUAUGUUGGAUGAUGGAAUGAUUAUUCUGUUCUGGUGCUUGCUUUGACUUGGGUGUUCAGAGAAGUAAAACUUUGAACUAACGUCUUUAGUGAAGCAACAUAUUGUAUCUGAAGUGAAACUUUCUCUUUGAUACGGAGAUGCGAGCAUCAAACUAACAUCCAUCUAAAGAUAAGAUUGCCAAUAUAAAUCGAUGAUGCAUGGCUCGGAAGUUGGUUGCAAAAUCACGAAGGUGGCUACUAGUUUUAGAUUAGGUUAUUAGAAUGUCAUUCAGGUCAAUGUUUCAAACAUUAUGUUUUAGAUGGCUGACAUGUUGAUUGCAAGGUUGAGAAUCAGACUACUACUAGAUAGUUUCACAUACUGUAAUCUUUGUAUCAUGCUCUUUGUAAAGCAACCGAGUUGAUUUAAUAUAUGUGACCUUUCUAAUUA
rnacentral:rRNA from 1 species